CAGCCUUGAGUAUCGGAGAGGAAAGCGGAAUUCCUAGUGUAGCGGUGAAAUGCGUAGAUAUUAGGAGGAACACCAGUGGCGAAGGCGGCUUUCUGGACGACAACUGACGCUGAGGCGCGAAAGUGUGGGGAGCAAACAGGAUUAGAUACCCUGGUAGUCCACACCGUAAACGAUGGAUACUAGGUGUAGGAGGUAUCGACCCCUUCUGUGCCGCAGUUAACACAAUAAGUAUCCCACCUGGGGAGUACGACCGCAAGGUUGAAACUCAAAGGAAUUGACGGGGGCCCGCACAAGCAGUGGAGUAUGUGGUUUAAUUCGAAGCAACGCGAAGAACCUUACCUGGGCUUGACAUCCCUGGAAUCGAGUAGAGAUACUUGAGUGCCUUCGGGAAUCAGGUGACAGGUGGUGCAUGGUUGUCGUCAGCUCGUGUCGUGAGAUGUUGGGUUAAGUCCCGCAACGAGCGCAACCCCUAUUGUCAGUUGCCAUCAUUAAGUUGGGCACUCUGGCGAGACUGCCGGUGACAAAUCGGAGGAAGGUGGGGACGACGUCAAAUCAUCAUGCCCCUUAUGCCCAGGGCUACACACGUACUACAAUGGCCGAUAACAAAGUGCAGCGAAACCGUGAGGUGGAGCGAAUCACAAAACUCGGUCUCAGUUCAGAUUGCAGGCUGCAACUCGCCUGCAUGAAGUUGGAAUUGCUAGUAAUCGCGGAUCAGAAUGCCGCGGUGAAUACGUUCCCGGGCCUUGUACACACCGCCCGUCACACCAUGAGAGUCGAUAACACCCGAAGCCUGUGAGCUAACCAAUUAGGAGGCAGCAGUCGAAGGUGGGGUUGAUGAUUGGCG
rnacentral:rRNA from 1 species